UCCCCCGUGGGGUAAUCGGCAGCCCGCGAGACUUUGAAUCUCGAAGACCAGGAUCGAAACCUGGCGGGGGAGCAA
rnacentral:tRNA from 1 species